CUUCUCUCCAGUUUGCUCCUAACUGCCUGCACUUUCACCUCGCUUCUGGGCACUGCUCCCGGGCUCUGGCGGUGCUUUGGCCCCAUGUCCAGGGAGCCUGACCCGCCUGGUGGCUGUGAUUCCCUGGGACAGCCCCUGGGUGACCACUGUGAGUCUGAGCUCUUGCCUUGGGGCAGGACGAACUGGGUGCUCCUCAGACCCAGAUCCGGCUGAGGCUGGGAUAUUGGCUCGAGUGACACCUGGGCUUGGCUUCCUUCCCUGCCCUGUCCUGUCUCCCCUGUGCAGCCUCCCCUGAAGCGCGGGUCUACAAACCUCAUCCCAGGACCCGUUUCUAGGAGACAGUGAGGCUAAGACCCAGUGCCUGCCCGAUGCAUUAACAGAUGGAAUCCUCCUGAGGACCCUAGGAAGCAGGGAGAAACUCUCCACGGGUGCUGAGAUGUCUUUGACACCUCGCUGAGUAAGGUUGGCAGAGCUUCCUUCACAACAGCCGGAAACGGUUUCCAUUGAAAACCUUCCUCAGGCAGCAGGACAGAAAGCAGACUUGGGUGACACCUUUUGUUUCUCUGUGUUCACUUUCACCAUCACCUACUCUUCCGGGCUGUGGGCACAGGGCUGUGUGUGGCUCAGGGAGCUCAGGCACAGCCUCUUCUUUUUCUCUUUUGUACACACUGGGAUUACCCGGCUUGUGAACCAGUGAGAUCUGGAGACAGAUCCUGUGAUGAAAUCAGGCCACCAUAACCUCCCAUCAUAGCCUCUGCAUACAAUCCUUCCAUGUUCCCCUUUCCAGGUAUCUGUUGCUGUGUAAGGAGUUACCCCAAAACUUAGCAGCAUGAAACAAUAGCAAUGAUUUUAUUGUUAUGUCAUGGUUCCGAUGUUGACUGGGCUCAGCUAGGCGGUUCUGGCGUGGGGCCUCUCAUGUGGUUGCAGUCACAUGGGGACUGGGGCUGAGGUUAUCUCAACCCACAUGUCUGGCAGUCACUAUUUGAUAGUUGAUAUGUGACUGCCAGGUGGAACCUCAGCUGGGGGCCAGAGCCUCCACGUGUGACUUGGGCUUCCUUACAACAUGGUGCUCCAGAAAAAAAAUUUCCCAAGAGGGCCAGGAGGAAGCCAUAACACCUCCUAUAACAGUCUCAGAAGUUCCCCAGUUUCCCUUCCAUUGUAGUCUCAGCCCUGGGCAAGGGGAGGGACAUAACUCCCAGCUCCCAAUAGCAGGAGUGCCCACCUCACAUUGUAAAAAGAGCUUGUGGGAUGGAAGAAUUUGUAGCCAUCUUGGAAAACACAGCCACUUCCAUCCUUCCUGCUUCUCUGCUCUAAUUCCAGCCCAGCUUCUGAAGCUGUGGGCCAUUAUUAGGCUCCUAUAGUAUGCCAGCUGUUUUCAUGAACAUCAUCACACAACUAGCUACAGCUCCCCUUGGGUGAGUCUGUCAUUUUCCCGUCUUACGAACAAGGGGUCUGGGCAUCAGAAUGCUUAAGGUACCUGUACAAAGUCCCACAGUUGUUCAGUAACUUUAUUGGACAUCAGUUGCCCCUUCUGGUCACAGCCCCUCUAGUUUACUUGGAGACAGCCCUUCACUCACCUCAGACCAUGUGGUUUGUGUUGAACUGGUUCUCCCCAUUGGUCCAGAGAUGGGCAUGUGACUAAGGCUCCGCCAAUCCAAAUUUUCCAAACCUCUGGCCUCAGUGAUUGGUUCAGGGGUCAUUGAAUGAUCCAAUUCUGUCCAGUAAGAGGUAUCCCAGGACUGUUGCAGGAACAGUUGGGAAGUGAGAAUCUGGACUGAUUGAGCAUGUUUAGCUGUGCCUGCUGGGAUACCAUUUCCGUGGUGAAGGCAGGGCAUGACUGAGGAGGAAGCCAAUAUGGACACAAACAACUGUGCAUUCUGAGGCCAUUGCUUGGGCCCCUGGAUUCAGCCAUACCUGAGGCCAGCACUACCUCGGAAUUUACCAUUACAAGAACUAAUAACUUUUCCUUUUAGUUGAAGGCAGUUUGAGUUGGGGCUUCUAUGAUAGCCAAAGUCUCAUCCGAGCACUUUGCAGGGCCGAGGCGAGAGGCUCGCCUGAGCCCAGGAGUUUGAGAGCAGCCUGGGCAACAUGACAAAACCCCAUCUCUACAAAAUUAAAGAAAAAAAAUUAAGUGAGUGUGGCAGCCUGUGCCUGCAGUUUCAGCAACCUGGGAGGCUGAAGUGGGAGAGUCACUUGAGCCUAGGGAGCUUGAGGCUGCAGUGAGCUGUGAUUGCACCACUACAUUCCAGGCUGGGUGACACAGCAAGACCCUGUCUCAAAAAAAAUGCAGAAAAGGAAUUUGAGCCCAGACCUAUCUGAGUCCACAAAUUCUAAAUUCUUUCCCCAGAACCAUGCCACUUCCCUGAGUGCCAUCUACCUUCAAGGCCCAGAUCAAUUAUCCCUUUUCCAAGACAACCUCCCUGAUAUCAGCUCACAGCGUCUCCCCUCAGACUCCAAUUGCUGGAGUCUGUGGCCUUUGGUGUAGGUGCUUUCCAGGGAAGGCCUCCCUGAUCAACAUGGUGCCUUCUUCUACCAGGCAUGGGUGCCUAAAAUGUCACCAUCAGAGCCUCAUUCCUCUGGGUUAAGCAUUGCUCUUUUUGAGUGACUAUUUUAAAAUCUUGAUCCCCUGAGAUUGGGAGUCGAAUCACCAUGGUCCAAGAAAAAUGAUAAGGGCAUUCUUGGAGAGACAGGCAGUAAAACGAGGGAAGAGAUGUGUUUCAUUCUCACUAGCAAGGAGGAAGUAGCAUUUAAAGCUGCACCUUCAAAGGAAAAGAGACUUUUAGAGUUGAGGUUAUAGAAAAGGUAUCCCAGGUAGAAGGAGAAGAUCGAGAGGAGAGAACUUGUGGGACACAGUCAGGAAAUAGCCAAUUUGCUGCUGUUGCUGGUAUACCAUAUAGGACUGAAGCCAGCUCAGAAGGUCCUGGGAUUGUGAAAUACCACACUGAGGCGUUUGAUAUUUAUUUUCUGGGUAAUAGGGGGCCAUCGAAGGUGCUUGAGUCACGGCAGUGGGGUCGGGGGAGUCUCAAUCAGAGCAGCAGUUUAGGAAGAUGAAUCUGUGCAGUGUGGAAGGGCAGUGUGUGAAGAGGCCAUAGGCUGGGCCAGGGGAGCCAAGUGAGAAGUGAGGUCAUCCAAACCAGAAUUGCAACAGUGAGAUAAGAAGUGAUUAGGCACAUUUUGGGGGAAAACUGGCUUGAUAUAGAGACAGGCCAGGAGGGGUGGAGCCUUAGAACAGCAUCGGUGCUGGGUCCCCGUGCUGGGCCCAAGCUCAGCCUCUCCCUCUUUUAAGAGAAGGACCUGUCACCAGCCCACAUAAUAGCUGUGGCUCCAUGCUGGUAUGUGGAUCAGGAUGGGCUUUUUCAUUGCUGUGUAGUUUUCCACUGUAAGGAUGUACCACAAUUCAUUUAUCCAUUUACCUCUGAUGGACAUACAGGUAGUUUCCAAUAACCUCCUUUUUAAAUUUUGAGAUGUCACCUUGCAUGAAGCAAUGCAACCUGGGACAUUAAUGGGAUGGGCUAACUAUAUUUUUCUAGUAUACAUUAAAUACAUGCAUAAUUAUUAAAAAUAAAAGAGAUACUCGUCUGGGACCACCUCCUGUCACUUGCUCCUGCACGAGGCUUGCUUUGGCAAAGGCUGCGAGAAUUCGUCGCUGCCGCAGUUGCUGGAUUGUUAGAUGACGAUGUCAUUCAGGCCCGGUGGUGGCCCAGAGGCUAAGCUCCCCUUCCCACACCCUCCUUAUCCCUGGACAAGAGGCCUUCUGGAAGGCUACUCCUGCUCUGGCCCCUGCCUGCCCUCAGCUGGAAGGAGACAUUGUCUCAAUUCAUCCUGCCUUCAAAGGGCUCCUGUCUGAACCAGGCUCCCGGGCAAACCCCAGCCCAAUCCUCGCCUGGAAAAACACACUCGGCCCUUGUUUAGACUGAGGCCGGCCUGCAGGAGGUCAGCCCAGCUGCGAGGGCAGAAGCCUCAGCUCAGCCACAAAACGUGGCGUGGGGGCCCCUCCACUUGCGGCCCCGGGCCCACCCCCGGAGAUGGAGGCUGCUCAGGAAGGAGAAAGCCUCACACAGGGACCCUGUGUGCAUCCCGGUGGUUGGCCAGGAAGGGCCGGUCUGUCAUUCUGGGCUGGAGCUCUCACUCUUGUCAGUCCCUCAGAAACUACACACAAUGGAUUUUCCUUUCUUCCUUCCCAACCAGACCUUCCUGAUGGCCACAAGUGCCCUCAAGACUCCCGAUCAUAAAAAGAAAACUUUCCCUAAACUGAUGUUAUAGACCCUGUUGCAUCCCCCGCGAUUCAUGUGCUGAAGUCCUAACUUCACCCUCAGUGCCUCAGAAUGCAACGUUAUUUGGGAAGUAGGGUCCCUGCAGAUGGAAUUAGUUCAGAUGAGGUCAUACUGGAAUAAGGGGGUCCCUCAUCCAAUAUGAUGUGCUUCUAAAGCGGGGAACUUUGGACACAGACACACACAGGAAGAAUGCCAUGGGAACAUGAAAGCAGAAAUCAGGGUGACGUAUCCGCCAGCCAAGGGAUGCGAAAGAUUGCCAGCGAAGUACCAGAAGCUAGGGAAGAGGCCAGGAACAGAUUCCCACAGAAUGAACCAACCCUGCUGGCCCUUUGAUCUCAGACUUCUGGCCUGCAGAACUGUGAGAGAAUACAUUUCUGUUGUGUAAGCUGCCCCAUUUGUGGUACUUUGUUACGGCAGCCAGGGGAGACUAACGUACCCAACAUUUCAGUCACAAGGACAUUUAUUGAAAAGGCAGCCCAGACCCAUAUCAUCCAUUUCCUUCCUUCCUGUAGCUCCUCAUAUCCGUUAGGGAUGCCUGUUACCUGCAAGUUGCAGAAAGCUUAACUAUCAGUGGCCUGAACAAAAUGGGAGUUUUGUUUUCCUCCUCUAAAAAGAAACCUGGCUAAAAAUCAUACAGUCACAUCAAUAGAUGCAGAAACAGUGUUUGGCAAACUCCAACACCUAUCCCCGACAAAAACUCCCAGCAAACUAGGAGUAAAGAGGAACUUCAACUUGAUAAAGAACAUUUCCGAUAAUCCAAUAGCUAACAUCUCACUUAAUGGUGAGAAACUAGGUUCUUUCCCCGUAAGGUCAGGAACAAGGCAAGGACAUUCACUCUCACCACUCCUUUUCAAGGUCAUACUGGAAAUCAUAGCUAAUGCCAUAAGACAAGUAAGAAAAGGUAUACAGAUUGAGAAGGAAGAAAUAAAACUGUCUUUCUUCACAGAUGACAUGACUGUUUAGAAAAUCCCAAAGAUUCAAAACAAUGACAAAAAACACUAGAAUGAAUAAGUGAUUAUAGCAAGGUUGCAGGAUACAAGGUAACUAUACAAAAGUCAAUUGCUUUCCUACAUAUCAGCAAUGAGCAAGUAGAAUUGGAUAUUUAAAGAAGCCUGGCAAAAGCUGUUUUAGCAACCAGGCCAUGUCAGGGCCUCAGCAGUUCUUAUACCUUUCUCUGUAGUGCCAACAUGCCUGCCAAAGCUCCAGAACAUUCCAGACAGGAAUGUGCAGGGAGGGAGGAGAGUAGAUGCUGUUGGUGCUCACUAAGCCUCCUCAGGAGAGACUGCUUGAGAGUUUAACACCCUCAACCGAUGACAAGUGGGGAUUGAGUGAAUAAAUACCCCAACUAUCUCACUCUUCAGGCACAUAACUCUGAGCUUGUCUACGCUGUCUCUUGGUGUUCCUCAGAAGAAUUGCUUCUAUAAAGUGGGAUUGGUGAUAGUCCUUUCUUCAUAGGGUUGGUGUGAGAGCUGCUGCAUAUAAACCACUGUGCAAAGAGCCAGGCAUACAGUAAGUGCUAAAUAAAUGCCUGUGACUGUGAGCACUCACUCAGUAUGGUUGGGGAGCAGAAGAGAGGCCAGUGUAGCUGGAGCUGGACCAAGGCCUAAGGGCAGAUGAGACCAUGGGCAUCUUGGGGCCAUCUGUGGUGACCCUUGACCUAAGAAGGUCCACAGACUCAUUUUAAAGGAAGGCCACAGCUAGACUCAAUCCCUAGGCAGAGUAGGCUAAGAGUGGGAAAACUCUGGACUUGCCAAGGUUCUGUUUCCACUGAAUGGGGCACAAAGCAGAAAUUUAGUUGAAUUAUAGAAAACUCUAGAGAGUUCUAGAAAAAAACCUGUAGCUGAUGUGUUUGGAGUGGGGGUGGGACUCUUCCAGAGCUAUGCUUUGGGCCAUCAAGCCACAAGGGCCAAGUUUUUUGAGAUUUUACAAGCCAGAGACUCGGGCCUCUGGUCUUCAGGUCAAAAUCCCCCCACUGCAGCCUGGCUCUCUGUAAAGCCUGCCUCCAGCGUGGAAACGGGAAGAUGCAAUGUCUUAGUGGUUAAGCCAUGGAUGGCCACUAGUGGCCCUUGUCCUGGGCCCUUAUCCUUGGUGUGAGAUCUGGAAUCUCUCUCACAGCCCCCGCUUGGUGUCUUCGUGGGUGGCAGCCUGUUGUCAUGGAGGAAGCUGGGAUGCAGUUGUGGAUGAGUGAAUUUAUGAUGGGGAAAUUUAACACAGGGCUGAUUCAUGGCUUUUCAUCCCAGGCCUGGGGGAAGCUCAGACCCCUGUACUCCGGCUGCCUUCAUUUAUUUCAGACUCGUGUGUGAAGAGGCCGGGGGUGGGAGAAGGGUGAAGAAAAGGUUGAACACCAGGCAUGGGGCGAGAGCGCCUUCACCCACCAGGCUCCUCAGGAACCCAGUCCUGGGAAAUGGCCUUGCAGAGGGAACAGUCGCAGCUGGGUUCCAUUCUCCAGUUUCUAAAAGGAGGCAGGAAAAAAAUCAUUCUGCACAUUUGCAGUCGUCUCCCUGCCUGGCUUUUUUUUUUCUUUCCUGCAAGCACAGAGGACGUGGUCCCUGUGUCCUGCCACAGCGCGUGGGGGCUCGUUAAUUAAAGAGCCGAGCAGAUGUCACUGUUCAUUAAGCGCGGCCGCGUGGCUCCUUCUGCAGACACUGCCGCCCUUUGCGCUCACUACUUAAUGACACCGCGUCUCCCUGGCUGCCCCAGCCCUGGAGAAGAGCAGGCAAGGCUGCGUUUCCCCCUAAUUUGGCGGGGUGGGGGGCCUCCGCCCCACUGCGUCCUUGUCGGCUGGGGCGCUGCAGCCAGACACAAGGUGAUGGAGACUUUUAAUUUUCAUCAUGCCUAUCCGUCGGAGCUCCGUUUUAAAUCACUUUAACGGCAGAUUAAAAAUAUAUAAGCUGAUAUUAGAGGACAUUCUUAGUGCCUUUAUAAAUAUCUUAAAUCAAAAGUUUGGCUUAAUUGCACUUGAAUGGGUACAGGAG
rnacentral:lncRNA from 10 species